UUCAGCUCCACAAGCUAACCGUGGUCCACCAGGGAAUCUACAGCUGUGAACUCUCUACUGCCAGAGACUCACACCUGGUCCUCACCUACCUGGAGAUCACACCUGAUAAACCAUCUGAUGUUUCAGAUGGACUGAGUCCAGGUUCAAUCACUGGUAUAACAAUAGCAGCAGUAGCAGCAGUGAUUAUAGCAGCAGUGAUAUGUUACCUGCUGAGAGCAAAUACAAAUGGUCAAAAUGAAAAGGAUCAGAGUGGAAUACCACUUCAGAAUGGAGAAG